rnacentral:lncRNA from 1 species
GAAAAGGAGAAAUUGAAUGAUGGGAGACUAAUGAGCUUAACUUGAACUCUGGUUGAACAAAACAAGAGAUUGUGUAUGAACUUGAUGCUUGUUUCUUUCUUUCCCCUAAGUGAGAUUAUGAUUUUUGAAACAUGUGAUACGCUGGGCGCUAUGGCAGUGUACAUACGAAUUGCUCGGUUAUGACAUUCUGCAUGUUUUAAUAUAUGGGGUUGGUUUUAAAUAAGAGGACACUCGAAUUUGUUAUAAUUUGAGAAACAGUUUGU